rnacentral:rRNA from 1 species
AAUCAACGCUGGCGGCGUGCCUAACACAUGCAAGUCGCACGAGAAAGGGCAGCAAUGCCUGAGUACAGUGGCGCACGGGUGAGUAACACGUGAAUGAUCUACCUCCGAGUGGGGAAUAACUGAGAGAAAUCUUAGCUAAUACCGCAUAACACUUACGAGUCAAAGCAGCAAUGCGCUUGGAGAGGAGUUCGCGGCAGAUUAGAGUUGGCGGGGUAAUGGCCCACCAAGACGAUGAUCUGUAUCCGGCCUGAGAGGGCGCACGGACACACUGGAACUGAAACACGGUCCAGACUCCUACGGGAGGCAGCAGUGGGAAUUUUGCGCAAUGGGGGAAACCCUGAGCAGCAACGCCGCGUGGAGGAUGAAAUCCCUUGGGAUGUAAACUCCUUUCGAUCGGGAAGAUAAUGACGGUACCGAGAGAAGAA